AUACUUCCGUGUGAUAUAUAUACACGCAAGACAAUCCCCACACGAAUCUCUUGCUAUUACUAACGUGCGCGGCUGUACAUUUUUAUAAUAAUAGAACCAGCUUCCCCAUCUCCCGCCACUACCCCAAUACUCUCUUUUUCCUACUCUCUUCCUUUUAGAAGAAAAAGGAAUGGAUAUUCCAGUGAUAGAUCUAACGCGAUACUUAGAGAUCGCCGAUAAGCUGAGCACAGACCCAGUGAAAUUGUCCCGUCAACUCGGAGAACUUGGGCCCUGGCUUGGUGAAUUGUGUAAGGAGGUGAGCAGGAUCCUUAGAGAAACAGGAGCUUUGGUAGUUAAGGACCCGAGAUGUUCGGCGGAUGAUAACGAUCGGUUUAUAGAUAUGAUGGAGAAGUACUUCGAGAGACCACCGGAGUUCAAGAGGUUGCAGGAGAGACCCCAAUUGCAUUACCAGGUUGGGGUGACCCCUGAAGGAGUAGAAGUUCCAAGGAGCCUGGUUGAUGAAGAGAUGCAAGAGGAAUUAAAAGCAAUGCCCAAAGAGUUCCAACCAUCCACUCCGAAAGGACCGGAUCGCAAGUGGCGAUACAUGUGGAGAGUAGGUCCUCGGCCGUUGAACACCCACUUUAAGGAACUUAAUUCAGAACCUGUAAUACCUGAAGGUUUCCCAGAAUGGAAAGAAACUAUGGACUCAUGGGGGCACAAAAUGAUCUCAGCAAUAGAGGCUGUUGCUGAAAUGGCCGCAAUUGGUUUUGGUUUGCCCAAGGAUGCAUUUACUUCUAUUAUGAAGCAGGGACCCCAUCUUCUUGCACCAACAGGGAGUGACCUUGGCUGCUAUGGCCAAGAAGGCACUGUGUUUGCUGGAUAUCAUUAUGACCUUAACUUUCUAACAAUUCAUGGUAGAAGCAGAUUUCCUGGUCUUAACAUUUGGCUAAGGAAUGGACAGAAAGUUGGAGUGAAGGUUCCUCUAGGAUGUCUACUCAUUCAGACAGGGAAGCAGAUAGAGUGGUUGACUGCAGGAGACUGCAUAGCUGGCAUGCAUGAAGUUGUUGUCACAAAGAGAACAAUUGAUGCAGUCAAAUUAGCAUCAGAACAAAACUGUAGCCUAUGGAGAGUUUCCUCAACACUUUUUGCACACAUAGCAUCAGAUGCUGUGUUAAAGCCUUUAGGUCACUUCGCAGAAUCCCCGCUAGCCAGCAAAUACCCUCCCAUCCGUGCUGGAGAGUUUGUCGAACAAGAACUUUCUGUAAUCAAUCUGAAAGGAAAUAAAGUUUAUUAGGGGUUCCUUGUUGCUGGGAGGGAGAUCAAGUUCAAAGAUGAAACCAGCAAUGGGAGGGCUGCAUUAGUUUCUUUCAAGAAAUCAUCUGGGUGAGGCCCAUUUGCUAGGAAAGAAAAUUCUAGGCCGGCCAUUGCUUGUAUGUGCUUGGCAACAAGUAUGCAUACAAGGGCAGUCCACUCAUUGGAGUCCUGAUCCAGCCCCAAAAAUGCAAGGACGGGGCCUCAAUUUUAGACCCAUAAACCCUGGUUCAUGUAUAGGCUAUAGAUAGAAACAACAAAAAUACACACAGAUGCAAUGCAAUAGAAACAACAAAACCAAGAGGACCACAGGAUACUUGUACUCUGCCUAUAUACUUUAAAAAAAAAAAAAAAUCUAGAUAGUCUUCUUGUGGCUCUCAAUUAAAUAUGUUUAUAGAGGAAAGUCUUUAUUCUCAGGAUGCAGGUAGCUUAUACAGGAAAACGGUAUUUAUGCC